GAUUCCUGAGCGCUCUGGCAGCUUUCCUCACUAUGAUCAUCGUUUCUCAGGCUGUUAAAAUCAAAAAGCUUCAGAAAGCUCACGUUGAGGAACAGGAUCUACAACAGACACAGAGGCUGGGCUCAGAUGAUGUGAACUAUGCAGCAGUGACUUUUCUCCCAAAAGCAGAAAGAAACCACCGGCUGUCACCAGAGACAGAAGUGGAGCCAACUAUUUAUUCAGCCACCAGAUAGACUCAGGAAGCACCUGUUGUACCGUGUUUUAGUCUGCUUGAUUGGUGUUCCAUUGUCAUUGUGAGUACAAAAUGUACAAUAAUCUUGUUCACGCUGAUUUGUGAUGGCCUUCUUAAUUUUUGUUGUCGUGUGUCAUACUUUUAACUGUCUUGUGUUUUCAUCUGAGAGCAGAAGAAUGUAAAUCUCUCAGAACGCCACUCUCUCAACACUUUUUUUUGACAGGAAGAGACAGUGCAGUGCGGUGUGAACACAACUGCAUGCAGGUAUGAGCAUGAGAAAUAUCUUACUUUCAAAACCUUGUGAAAAGAUGCUGCUCAGCCUCCUAUGAAGGGUUCACGUUGCUACACGCUGUACAAGUUGAAGACAUAUAGAUCGAUCACAGCAGAGCUGCAGCAUCUUCACUGUGCAGGUUUUUCUCAGGAACACUUUGCACAUACAGUAUCCCUCCGAAAAAGUAAUGCGCUGUAAUCCGUAUGUGUACCAUGUAUUUAUUGCUGUAUGCUCCACAGUGACUGCUGCUGAAUGACAGCACUCUGGUUCGCGUAGGAAUCAGGGUGAACGGUUGGGUUAUGAAACACAGUGCUUUCAAGCAGGGAGCGGAGAUUGCAGUCCCAGAGAAAAAACAUCCAGAAAAUGUGUGUUUGUGUCCCAGGAUUACUACAUAAGUAGACCAGUGUUUCAAUCCAAACAAAACAGUCUUUUUUCUAACCUAAUUAGACAGUUAGGUGUCUAAACUUCACUGUGGUCACCCAUGAUGGUCCUUUUCUGUCGGCUAAACUUAACUGCAACGGGAUCUGAACGGGAUUGUGACGGUACCCAUCUCCCUGUAACC